rnacentral:rRNA from 1 species
UACAGAGGUCCCGAGCGUUGUUCGGAAUUACUGGGCGUAAAGGGCUCGUAGGUGGCCAACUAAGUCAGACGUGAAAUCCCUCGGCUUAACCGGGGAACUGCGUCUGAUACUGGAUGGCUUGAGUUUGGGAGAGGGAUGCGGAAUUCCAGGUGUAGCGGUGAAAUGCGUAGAUAUCUGGAGGAACACCGGUGGCGAAGGCGGCAUCCUGGACCAACACUGACACUGAGGAGCGAAAGCCAGGGGAGCAAACGGG